GACGUAGGGCGCGAGCGUUGUCCGGAUUUAUUGGGCGUAAAGAGCUCGUAGGCGGCUUGUCGCGUCGAAUGUGAAAACUCGGGGCUCAACUUCCGAGCUUGCAUUCGAUACGGGCAGGCUAGAGUUCGGUGAGGGGAGACUGGAAUUCCUGUGUAGCGGUGAAAUGCGCAGAUAUCAGGAGGAACACCGGUGGCGAAGGCGGGUCUCUGGGCCGAUACUGACGCUGAGGAGCGAAAGCGUGGGGAGCGAACAGG
rnacentral:rRNA from 1 species